rnacentral:misc_RNA from 1 species
CUUGCCCAUUCCAUAUUUGCUUAAGAAAGGUGGUUCGAUACAAUUGAAGAGAAGAAAGGAUAAUAAGUGAAGCUAGCCAAUGAAAAAAAGAUGGAAGUAGAAGUUGUUGGUAGAGUAAAGAUCAAGCUACAUGGUAAUCGUGUGAAAUUGUUUAAUGAAGUGAGGUAUGUACCUAAAUUCAAAAGGAACUUAAUUUCUUUGGAUAAACUAGAUUCUUUGGGUUAUGGGUGCUCUAUUCAUGAUGGAGUCAUGAGAGUUAACUGAGUUACUCUUGUAAUCAUGAAGGGCGAGAAACUUAGAGUAAAAAAUCUCUACAAAUUAGAAGGAAGCACAUUGAUUGGAAGA